ensembl:lncRNA novel transcript
CAGGAAGAUGUAAAACAAGAAUUACAACAAUUACGAGAUCAAGAAAGCAAAAAAAACAAAGAUCAUUUUGAAACUCUAAAGAACUUAGAAAAUGGAUUCUAUAUAAAUGACCAAAAAGCAGAUCUUCUGCUCCUGGAAAAUAAAAAAUUAAAAGAAUAUAUUUUAUACUUGAAGAAUAACAUAGAGAAAUACAGAGAAGGACAAGAAGCCCUCAUGCACACCUCAAGCGACUUGUCUCGGCAACUAAUAGCUCAGGAGGCACAAUAUAAGGAUUUGUGGGCUGAAUUUCAGACCACAGUUAAGAUCUUGGUGGACAAUGGUGAAGAGACCUUGCAAGACAUAAACAAUCUAACAGACAAGCUGCGUGAAAGAGAUGAAAAAAUGCAGCAUGUCAGUACAUGGCUACGAGGGAGUCUUGAAGGGCUGCGUUUGCUUGUGGAACAGGAAUCACCAAUGGACCUUCUUAAGAAGAAGAAACACAUUCGUACAAGGGUUCAUUUCCCAGUGGUUAAAUGUACUGAGAAAAAUACAUUAACAAAGUAACUCAAGGAUACAACUGCUGUGAAUUCAAAAGACAGACUACUACAGGAAAAAUCUCAUGGUGGAUGUUCCUGGACAUGGAAAGGUGAUGGUGGACAUUGCAUAUGGCGGUGCAUUUUAUGCAUUUGUUA